CCACUCUCCAACCAGAGCCAGUCAGAGAACCCCACCUUUAUCUGUUGGAUUGUCCCUCAGCAGAAUGAUGAUCUCUGAAUAUUUACCGUGUUUACAGGCUUCCCUGGAUUCCUGUGAUUGCAGAGAAGAAAACAGAGUGAGUGUCCCAGCUUCUUGAAUUUUCUGCACUAAGUCUUCUGUUACCUGUUUUUUUGUCCUCAGGUAACUAGCACUCUUCAUUUCAGUGGCUCCAAAAUAAAAAAGUCUCCUGUUGGAAAGACUGGUCUGUUUCACAUAAGAUCUCUCAGUUUUAAUUUGACCAAUGUUUACAAAUUGUUUUUCAAGAAAGAACACUUUCUGCUGAGCAAAGUUCUACCGUAAUAAAUGAUGCUGUCUUAUUGAAAUGUCCUUUUGAAUCAGGACUGUGUUAAUAAUAGAUUUAUCCCCUCUACUUUCCCAGCCAAGGAUUCCCAUGCCUCAGUGGUAAUGUAUAUUGUCAGAUUACUAUACGUGUAUUCGACUAAAAGGAAAAUAAAGCAGUGAAGCCGCAGCCUUGCCCCGGUUAACAAAGGUGCACUUACGUCCACAGUCCUCAGAGCCUUGUCUUCAGCCCUGUCCUGGGGCAGUUCCACCACCAUGUCCUCUUGAGGAACUGGAGGGACACAGAACAGCACAGGGACACAGAAAACCAAAUGGGAAUGUGCUGUUCAGUCUGUAGCCCCAAAAGAACAAUAGAGGACACCUGUGGGAAAGGCUGGCACUCCUUCUGGAAGAGCACUCCAGCUCAUUUUCACCAGUAAUUAAAACUUUCUUUUCAGGAAGGAACAGUUUCUGCUGAGGAAACUGCUCCCGAUUCCAGUUUUUAAUUUAUGUUGUCAUUUUUGAAAAACAUCCUUUUGAAUAAGAUAUCUGCUGGGAGAAAUUCAUCCAUCAAAUUAAAAACUGUUUCUAUGAACUGUCUGGAAUAAUUUGAACCUUUAUCUGAAUUCAGCUAGAAAAUAAAAUUAUGAAGCAACACUUUUAUCUCA
rnacentral:lncRNA from 1 species